UACAGAGGGUGCGAGCGUUAAUCGGAAUUACUGGGCGUAAAGCGUGCGCAGGCGGUUUUGUAAGCCAGAUGUGAAAUCCCCGGGCUUAACCUGGGAAUGGCAUUUGGGACUGCAAGGCUUGAGUGCGGCAGAGGAGACUGGAAUUCCUGGUGUAGCGGUGAAAUGCGCAGAUAUCAGGAGGAACACCGGUGGCGAAGGCGGGUCUCUGGGCCGUAACUGACGCUGAGGAGCGAAAGCGUGGGGAGCGAACAGG
rnacentral:rRNA from 1 species